GUUGACUCUGUUCACAAGGAAAAAAAAUGGCAAGUGAACAUGAACGUUAUUAUUCUGUUUUAUAAAGUGGUAAAGAAAGAGUUAAGCUGUGCCAUUAUGUUCAAUAGCAUUGUGUCACUUCCUGUUUGGGCACUUCCUGUUUACCAAACAAUUUGAGCCAUGAGGUCAGAACUCCAGCCAAACUCAACUCCACAGCAUCAGAGCAACAAUGUUGUGAGGAUUGGAAUCAGCUUCUUCCAACUCUGUUCGAAAAAGACUAAUGGACUCAGGUUGUCAAGGGGACCAUCUGUAAUACCAACAAUUGCCCCUGGGGGAUCCAUAAGGUAUCUCUGAUUCUAAUUC